UGUGGUCUAGCUUAACUGGCAGAGCAUCUGAUUGUUAAUCAGAACGGUUUCGGUUCGACUCCGAAGACCACAGCCA
rnacentral:tRNA from 1 species